UCCUACGGGGGGCAGCAGUAGGGAAUUUUCGUCAAUGGGCGCAAGCCUGAACGAGCAAUGCCGCGUGAACGAGGAAGGUCUUCGGAUCGUAAAGUUCUGUUGAAGGGGAAAAAGAGCGGAGAGAGGAAAUGGUCUCCGAUUGAUAUUACCCUUCGGGGAAGUCACGGCUAACUACGUGCCAGCAGCCGCGGUAAUACGUAGGUGGCGAGCGUUAUCCGGAAUGAUUGGGCGUAAAGGGUGCGUAGGCGGCCUGCUAAGUCUGGAGUGAAAGGUACCGGCUCAACCGGUACAGGCUCUGGAAACUG
rnacentral:rRNA from 1 species